UACGUAGGGUGCAAGCGUUAAUCGGAAUUACUGGGCGUAAAGCGUGCGCAGGCGGUUUUGUAAGUCUGUUGUGAAAUCCCACAGCUCAACUGUGGAACUGCUCGGUAUACUGGUUGUCUUGAGCCACUUAGGGGCAGUCGGAACAGACGGUGGAGCGGUGAAAUGCGUAGAUAUCGUCUGGAACGCCAAAGGUGAAAACAGGCUGCUGGGAGUGUGCUGACGCUGAGACACGAAAGCCAGGGGAGCGAACGGG
rnacentral:rRNA from 1 species